UACGGGGGGGGCAAGCGUUGUUCGGAAUUACUGGGCGUAAAGCGCACGUAGGCGGCUUUGUAAGUUAGAGGUGAAAGCCUGGUGCUCAACACCAGAACUGCCUUUAAGGCUGCAUCGCUUGAAUCAUGGAGAGGCGGGUGGAAUUCCGAGUGUAGAGGUGAAAUUCGUAGAUAUUCGGAAGAACACCAGUGGCGAAGGCGGCCCGCUGGACAUGUAUUGACGCUGAGGUGCGAAAGCGUGGGGAGCAAACAGG
rnacentral:rRNA from 1 species